UGAGGAAGCAUAGAGGUGGUCCCUACCUUCAAGGAGCUCACAGUCUAUUGAGUUGCCUUUCUGAUUCUCCCACUAGAUUGUGAGCUGCUGGAGGGCAGGCACUUGAAUUCAUCUGAAAAGGU
rnacentral:precursor_RNA from 7 species